rnacentral:rRNA from 1 species
GGGAUUGCCUCAGUAACGGCGAGUGAAGCGGCAAGAGCUCAAAUUUGAAAGCUGGCUCCUUCGGGGUCCGCAUUGUAAUUUGCAGAGGAUACUUCGGGAGCGGUCCCCAUCUAAGUUCCCUGGAACGGGACGUCAUAGAGGGUGAAAAUCCCGUAUGGGAUGGGGUGUCCGCGCCCGUGUGAAGUUCCUUCGACGAGUCGAGUUGUUUGGGAAUGCAGCUCUAAAUGGGUGGUAAAUUUCAUCUAAAGCUAAAUAUUGGCCGGAGACCGAUAGCGCACAAGUAGAGUGAUCGAAAGAUGAAAAGCACUUUGAAAAGAGAGUUAAAAAGCACGUGAAAUUGUUGAAAGGGAAGCGCUUGCGACCAGACUCGGUCGCGGGGUUCAGCCGGCAUUCGUGCCGGUGUACUUCCCCGCGGUCGGGCCAACGUCAGUUUGGAUGGUCGGUUAAAGGCUCUCGGAAGGUAACGCCUCUAGGGGCGUCUUAUAGCCGAGGGUGCAAUACGACCUAUCCGGACUGAGGAACGCGCUUCGGCUCGGACGUUGGCAUAAUGGUCGUAAGCGAC